rnacentral:misc_RNA from 1 species
AACUUUCAACAAUGGAUCACUUGGCUCUCGCAUCGAUGAAGAACGCAGCGAAAUGCGAUACGUAAUGUGAAUUGCAGAAUUCAGCGAAUCAUCGAAUCUUUGAACGCAUAUUGCGCUCUCUGGUAUUCCGGAGAGCAUGCUUGUUUGAGUAUCAGUAAACACCUCAAAUCCCUCUACUUGUUGGAGGAAUUUGGACUUGAGCAAUCCCAACUUUUCGAAAGAGAAGGCGGGUUGCUUGAAAUGCAGGUGCAGCUAGAUUCUUUCUUCUGAGCUAUAAGCAUACUUAUUUAAUCCCGUCAAACGGAUUAUUACUUUUGCUGCAGCUAACAUAAAGGUUGAAGAGUCGCUAUGGCUGACUGAUGCAGGAUUUAACAUGUCGCGCAAGCGAUCUGUAAACUCGAUCUCAAAUCAAGCAAGACUACCCGCUGAACUUAAGCAUAUCAAUAAGCGGAGGC